rnacentral:rRNA from 1 species
AGUGAACGCUGGCGGUAGGCCUAACACAUGCAAGUCGAACGGCAGCACAGGAGAGCUUGCUCUCUGGGUGGCGAGUGGCGGACGGGUGAGGAAUACAUCGGAAUCUGCCCAGUCGUGGGGGAUAACGUAGGGAAACUUACGCUAAUACCGCAUACGACCUUCGGGUGAAAGAGGGGGAUCGCAAGACCUCUCGCGAUUGGAUGAGCCGAUGUCGGAUUAGCUAGUUGGCGGGGUAAUGGCCCACCAAGGCGACGAUCCGUAGCUGGUCUGAGAGGAUGAUCAGCCACGCUGGAACUGAGACACGGUCCAGACUCCUACGGGAGGCAGCAGUGGGGAAUAUUGGACAAUGGGCGCAAGCCUGAUCCAGCCAUACCGCGUGGGUGAAGAAGGCCUUCGGGUUGUAAAGCCCUUUUGUUGGGAAAGAAAUCUUUCAGGCUAAUACCCUGGGAGGAUGACGGUACCCAAAGAAUAAGCACCGGCUAACUUCGUG